rnacentral:rRNA from 1 species
CCUGAGAGGGUGGCCCCCACACUGGCACUGAAACACGGGCCAGACACCUACGGGUGGCAGCAGUAGGGAAUAUUGCACAAUGGGCGCAAUCCUGAUGCAGCAACGCCCCGCGCGCGAUGAAGGCCUUCGGGUCGUAAAGCGCUUUUCUGGAGGAGGAGGAAGGACCGUACUCCAGGAAUAAGCCUCGGCUAACUACGUGCCAGCAGCCGCGGUAAAACGUAGGAGGCAAGCGAUUAUCCGAAUUUACUGGGCGUAAAGCGCGUGCAGGCGGUUCGGUAAGUUGGAUGUGAAAUCUCCCGGCUCAACUGGGAGAGGUCGUUCAAGACUGUCGGACUGGAGGGCGGUAGAGGGAGGUGGAAUUCCCGGUGUAGUGGUGAAAUGCGUAGAGAUCGGGAGGAACACCUGUGGCGAAAGCGGGCUUCUUGGACCGUACCUGACGCUCAGACGCGAAAGCUAGGGGAGCGAACGGGAUUAGAAAACCCCGGUAGUCCUAGCUGUAAACGAUGUUGGACUUGGUGUAGGUGGGGGUAAACAGCCAUCCCGUGCCGAAGCCAACGCGAUAAAGUCCACCGCCUGGGGACUACGGCCGCAAAGGUUAAAACUCAAAGGAAUUGGCGGGGGCCCGCACAAGCAGCGGAGCGUGUGGUUUAAUUCGAUGCUACGGCGAAGAACUUUACCCGGGUUUGACAUGCAAGUGGUAGGGAAGCGAAAAGCGGACCGACCCUUCGGGGAGCUUGCACAGGUGCUGCAUGGCUGUCGUCAGCUCGUGUCGUGAGAUGUCCGGUUAAGUCCGGUAACGAG